GCCCCUGUGGUGCAGUGGUCAGCGCGCUCCGUGAUGCCUUCUCGUGAUGUACUCACACUGAAGACCUACCGAGCAUAUGAGGCCCCCCUUGGAAGGUGCACCUUGGUAGGGGAGAUAUUGCCCGUGGUUGGUCUUUCUUCAGUAUGAGUACACCAGGGGAGGGAAUGGAGAGGACCUUGGUUCGAUUCCAGGCAGGUGUG